GAACGGGCGUCCUUCGGGGCGUUUAGUGGCGCACGGGUGCGUAACGCGUAGCCAACCUGCCCCCGCCUGGGGGAUAGCCCGCCGAAAGGCGGAUUAAUCCCGCAUGCCCCCGGGGCCCGGCAUCGGGCGCCGGGGAAAGAGAGAUCGGGCGGGGAUGGGGCUGCGUGCCAUUAGCUGGUUGGCGGGGUAACGGCCCACCAAGGCGACGAUGGCUAGGGGAGCUGAGAGGCCGGUCCCCCACACUGGCACUGAGACACGGGCCAGACUCCUACGGGAGGCAGCAGUAGGGAAUAUUGGGCAAUGGAGGAGACUCUGACCCAGCCAUGCCGCGUGCCGGACGACGGCCUUCUGGGUUGUAAACGGCUUUUCCCGGGGAAGAAAACAGCCCUGCGGGGCCAACUGACGGUACCCGGGGAAGAAGCACCGGCUAACUCCGUGCCAGCAGCCGCGGUAAUACGGAGGGUGCGAGCGUUGUCCGGAUUUAUUGGGUUUAAAGGGUGCGUAGGCGGCCCGUUAAGUCCGGGGUGAAAGCCCACGGCUCAACCGUGGAACUGCCCCGGAUACUGGCGGGCUUGAGUCCAGGCGAGGUCGGCGGAACGGGCGGUGUAGCGGUGAAAUGCAUAGAUACCGCCCAGAACCCCGAUUGCGAAGGCAGCCGACUAGGCUGGCACUGACGCUGAGGCACGAAAGCGUGGGGAGCGAACAGGAUUAGAUACCCUGGUAGUCCACGCCGUAAACGAUGGAUACUCGCCGGCGGCGCCACACGGUCGCUGGCUGAGCGAAAGCGGUAAGUAUCCCACCUGGGGAGUACGCCCGCAAGGGUG
rnacentral:rRNA from 1 species